UUUCAUUUUGUGUAUUUGUUGGAUGGAGAGAACAUGUUUGGUUCAGCAAAUGUAUUAGUUUGAGUUGUUAUUCCUGUUAGGGUUCUCACAUAAAAAAGAAAGGAAGAAUUGACAUCAAAUGAGUAGCAACUGCUGCAGAGAAAGCUUACCAAGAAAAAGCACUAGUAGGUGGAAUCAGAACUCAUGUGUUCUCAAAAUCAAAAGGAGAUGCUUAAGCUGCUAGUUACUGAUAUGAAGCCACUUUCUGUUCGGGACAUUGUCCACAAUGGAGCCACUUUCCAGCUUUGUUGGCCAUCGUGAAUUGUGUGGCUAGCAAAUCAAAGAGUGCAUGAAGGACAAUAUGAUUGAGUAUGCCGUUAGAGUAUUAUCCGGAAGCUUGGUAUUGCAAGUGUGGCAAUAAGCUCUUCAUGCCUAAGCUGUAUCAAAAUUUUAUUCCUAGUUUUGUUUCACUUUGAAGCUCCUUUGUAUUUAGGUGGUGUUGUAUCACAUUCUAAUGUUCAAGUGUAUGGAUUCAAAAAUUUGUAAUGAAAUUAUCAAUUUUUAUGCAA